GUUCCACCAGCGUCCAAAGGACUCCUCCUCACAUAAAUCCAGCAUUCAACGCGAGUGGAAACUGCUCAUGAAUCUCAUCCGCCGCCGUCGCUUCCUCGAGGUUAAAUAUCAUGCCAUGAAGCCGUCCACAUCAACCAAACCAGCAUGCUCGCGCCGCCACCGCUUCCAGCGGCCUCCACACUGCCAUCUGAGCGCUCCCCGUUCUAAUUCCCCCUAUUUUUUUCCAAUUCGUUAAUAUGCCUUCCCAAUUUCGCAGGUUGAGGUCCAGAUGGAAAUCUGCUCGAUGUUUUGCCAAGGAUUCUGCUCCCUGCUACCUCAGCCCCAGAUUUCUUUUGAUUUAUUGGCUUCUCCGUCCGCUGGCUGGAGCUAAGAGCCACCGGCCAUCAGCGUCUGUGCUGCAGGGGCAGUCGCUGCACAAUACCUACUUCCAAUGACUGCAUCUCUCCACUUUGCUGUCCUCAUAUUCUUAUGUUCUUUGUGGUUAAGGUUCUCCAACGAUGCAUCAGUAGUUCCUGUGAAGCGGAGGAUGGAAGGAAGACUGCAUCCGGGUGGUUUGAACCGGCGAACACGAGCCUGCAAGGUGCAAGUCAUGAAGUCAACAAGGGAUUGUACCGUGCGAGCAAAACCAAAAAAAAAUACUACUUAGAUGGAACACUAUGCUUGGGAACAAGGUAGUUACGCUAUUGUGGCGGCACUUCGAUCCUCGACGAGCUACGAGUGUAAUGAUGUUCUGCAAUACGGGCAUAGGAUCAUUGUAAGAGGGAAGAGGAAGCUUUUGAGGACCAAGCUGACGAAGGGGAGGAAGAAGCUGGUACACCACGGCGCAGCUACCAGUCCACGUUCGUCAAGUCCAUCUGUUCUAACGGGUUACUAAUAGAAUAUAUACUCCUCUUAUGUACGAAUCUUAACGCCCCUGCAGGGUCAGGAUACAAGUGCAUCUGUGCUCGAGAUCAAAAGCAGAUUUUCGUAUAAUAUAGUGUAUUAUCCAAUAA